AUUGAACGCUGGCGGCAGGCUUAACACAUGCAAGUCGAGCGGGGGAAGGUAGCUUGCUACCGGACCUAGCGGCGGACGGGUGAGUAAUGCUUAGGAAUCUGCCUAUUAGUGGGGGACAACAUCUCGAAAGGGAUGCUAAUACCGCAUACGUCCUACGGGAGAAAGCAGGGGAUCUUCGGACCUUGCGCUAAUAGAUGAGCCUAAGGCGGAUUAGCUAGUUGGUGGGGUAAAGGCCUACCAAGGCGACGAUCUGUAGCGGGUCUGAGGGGAUGAUCCGCCACACUGGGACUGAGACACGGCCCAGACUCCUACGGGAGGCAGCAGUGGGGAAUAUUGGACAAUGGGGGGAACCCUGAUCCAGCCAUGCCGCGUGUGUGAAGAAGGCCUUAUGGUUGUAAAGCACUUUAAGCGAGGAGGAGGCUACUCUAGUUAAUACCUAGGGAUAGUGGACGUUACUCGCAGAAUAAGCACCGGUUAACUCUGUGCCAGCCGCCGCAGUAA
rnacentral:rRNA from 1 species